UUGCUGAGCUUGACUCCAGUCUGACACAGUGAAGAGACUUAAGAGAUGUAUAAGUGGGAGGUAACCUCCACCCACACCCUUGCAAAGGGGUGGACUGGAGCAGCCUUUUGUCCACCUGUGAUACUACUACUUUUACUGUUUUUUCACUGACCCAGUAAGGGGAUUGAAGGGGGUGACUCCCAAGGGACUCUUGCUUCUGGCUGCAAGCACUCAGUCACACCAGCCAGGCAUAACUCUAAGGGGAGUGCCAGGUAGGAAGUUGAACUGUUACUGUACACCUGUGAAACAAUGUAGAUAUCCCAAGUCAAGCUCAGGGAGGACAGAAAGCUCCCAUGGAGCAGAAGAGCAAAAGCUUACCUGAUCUUGAUUUUCAACAUGAACACAGACUUUGAAAGCAGGGACACACAUACAUACGCAAAUAAUGAUGAUGAUAAUAAUAACAACAA
rnacentral:ncRNA from 1 species